CCUGAUGGAGGGGGAUAACUACUGGAAACGGUAGCUAAUACCGCAUAACGUCUUCGGACCAAAGUGGGGGACCUUCGGGCCUCAUGCCAUCAGAUGUGCCCAGAUGGGAUUAGCUAGUAGGUGGGGUAACGGCUCACCUAGGCGACGAUCCCUAGCUGGUCUGAGAGGAUGACCAGCCACACUGGAACUGAGACACGGUCCAGACUCCUACGGGAGGCAGCAGUGGGGAAUAUUGCACAAUGGGCGCAAGCCUGAUGCAGCCAUGCCGCGUGUAUGAAGAAGGCCUUCGGGUUGUAAAGUACUUUCAGCGAGGAGGAAGGCGGUGAGGUUAAUAACCUCAUCGAUUGACGUUACUCGCAGAAGAAGCACCGGCUAACUCCGUGCCAGCAGCCGCGGUAAU
rnacentral:rRNA from 1 species